AAAUAUAAGUUCGUAACCGAAUCGUGAGGAGGUGUCAAUAUUAGGGAUCAAAGGGGAACUUUGCCAUAAAUAUAUAAGGCCACUUAUUUGAUUUUAAACUCAGAAUUAUACACUUAUCUCAGCUGAAAACCCUUGACCAUCUUCAACCUCAAGAACACCAUAUGCAACACAAUCUUUCAAGUGCCAUAACUUCUUCGUUUUUGGUCCGAUUGAGGUGAUUCUUGCGGCCACGGAACGAGGGGAACGAGCUCUACACAUCUAUCCCUAUCAAUUGAGACUUGAAGAGGCGACUAACAAUGGAACCCGGAACUUAAAAAACGCAACAUCGCUUAGCUGUUAUCGAAGGAUAUGGAUAGCAAGCAUGUGUUUUUCAGGUACCUAGAUUCUGAACUUGGCUAGAAGUUCGUCUUUAACCGGAAGUUCCUUUGUCUAUGUAUAGCCCCGACUUCCGUAGAUGCUGCAGUAGUGUGAUGUCUGACCAGUGUAGCAGUGAAAUUUUAUAUGGUUUAUAGUUGCUGUUAGUUUGUAUAUAUUUGUUUGGCCACGAUAGUUAUGCUUUGUACCACGGAGGUAGAUUCCCGCGAUGUAACUUUGACACUAGUAGUAUAUGCCAGGUUAGUACGUACAAGGUACGGAAACGAUAGACCCGAGCAAGUUGUAAUGUUUUACCAGUGCAAAUAAAUGUGUCUUUGUUAAAUGCUUCCGUUUGUAAGGUCCUUAUAUGAUUAAUGUUUGCGAAACAGUUUUAGUGAA